GCUUCAUGUCUCAGUCAGCAGAACAUGAGACUCUUAAUCUCAAGGUUGUGGGUUUGAGCCCCACGUUGGACA